rfam:Dictyocaulus viviparus strain HannoverDv2000 D_viviparus-1.0_Cont701.2, whole genome shotgun sequence.
GUUGUCCUGAAGGAAGUGUUGGGGGUUACGCACAGGUCCUUUCGUGACCUAGUCAAUCCCCGGGAAGGUCUGAGAAAAGGUCAUGUUCCGUGUGUUAGGUGUGGAACAUGGGCUCGAGAAGGGCCUCGCUUGUGAGAGCGGGAGGCUGUAACAGAAACAUCACCCCGAGGGGUUUGAACCACAGUCUCGAUCGGCGCGGCUGAGUGCGAUUGCUCUCCGAACACAAUUCAGACUACUCUCAGGACAAC